rnacentral:rRNA from 1 species
CGCCCUUAGAGUUUGAUCAUGGCUCAGAUUGAACGCUGGCGGCAGGCUUAACACAUGCAAGUCGAGCGGUAGGGGAGCUUGCUCCCUACGAGCGGCGGACGGGUGAGUAAUGUCUGGGAAACUGCCUGAUGGAGGGGGAUAACUACUGGAAACGGUAGCUAAUACCGCAUAACGUCGCAAGACCAAAGAGGUUCGUCUUGCCAUCAGAUGUGCCCAGAUGGGAUUAGCUAGUAGGUGGGGUAAUGGCUCACCUAGGCGACGAUCCCUAGCUGGUCUGAGAGGAUGACCAGCCACACUGGAACUGAGACACGGUCCAGACUCCUACGGGAGGCAGCAGUGGGGAAUAUUGCACAAUGGGCGCAAGCCUGAUGCAGCCAUGCCGCGUGUGUGAAGAAGGCCUUCGGGUUGUAAAGCACUUUCAGCGAGGAGGAAGGUGGUGAGUAAUCUCAUCAAUUGACGUUACUCGCAGAAGAAGCACCGGCUAACUCCGUGCCAGCAGCCGCGGUAAUACGGAGGGUGCAAGCGUUAAUCGGAAUUACUGGGCGUAAGCGCACGCAGGCGGUUUGUUAAGUCAGAUGUGAAAUCCCCGGGCUCAACCUGGGAACUGCAUUUGAACUGGCAGCUAGAG